GAGCUCACAAGAUCCUUGACCAGUGCACACUGCCGCUGACGGGAAAGAAAUGUGUGGACCGUAUCAUCACAGAGAAGGCUGUGUUUGACGUUGUGGAGAAUGAGGGUCUGUGUCUGAUUGAGAUUGCUGACGGACUGUCAGUCACCGACAUCCAGAACUGUACCGGCUGUCAGUUCACCGUGUCACCGAGCCUGGGGCCGAUUCAGCAAGUCUAGCAGGCCUGCGAGGCGAGGUUGGGGGGUGUGGGGGCAGUGAGCCCCACAGCCCUCCCAGCGAGGACAAGGAAGCCAACAGCCUCCACUGCUGACCCGACCAGCGACUGACUAACAGACUGACGCACAUUCUUAUUUAAGUUGAUCGAGGAAUUAAAAAGGGACUUUUUUAGUGUA